rnacentral:lncRNA from 1 species
AUCUACGCUUCUUACUGAAAGAAUUGUGGGAAUUUAUUUAGUUCAGCUGUCGACUGGUGCCAACUUCCACUGCACAACGAAUUCUUUAAAGCCAUACCUACAACGGUGAUGCCCUGAGAUGACAUUGCCUAAGAAAGCUGUGUUCAUCUUACUUCGUACAAGCAUCUCCAUGAGGUUUGAACAACAACACAAUGUCAGCCUUUCUGCCUCAGUCUCCCAGAGCUUGGAUUGUAGGUGUGAGCUACCACCUGGCUUCUGGUUCUAUUUUUAAAGACAUCUUAGAGACUAAAACGUCGUUAAGUUUUCAUAGUGCGUUCCCAGCUCCAUCUCUGCCUUUGGGCAUGUGAGAAGGCCUGGCGUAGUGUGAGGUGAAUGAUUUCGUCCUGCCUGCUGGACAAGAAGCCAUGGGGUUACCCGGGCCCUCUUUCUGGGUGGUGUUGGCAGCUAGCAAUGAAGCAGUUGUGUUCCUUCUAUUGUGGAGUGUACUCUGGGGGCAUCUGCUUCCCUAAAUCUUCACUCCAUUGUUCACCUACAGCAGUGGUUCUCAACCUUCUCAAAGCUGUGACCUCUUAAUACGGUUCCUCAUGUUGUGGUGACCCCACCCCACAACCAUAAAAUUAUUUUCAUUGC